rnacentral:sRNA from 1 species
GUGGUUGAUGUGGCCGGAUCGCCCUAGAUCCGGCCUGGUCACGAUUUGCG